GCUAAAGUUAAAUGGAUCAUUAAAUGUUUCAAAGGUUUGUCCUUCAUAUCAGAGGAUAUGAGAGACUGGUGAAGACUUGACAGCAUUACUGAGAAAAUGCCCUCCCUUGGGAAGUUUUGGGCUUUUGACCAACGGCUGAAAUCAAUCCCACAACUGAAACGGUAUGAUGAUAUUGGACUCCCCACGAAGAGCAGGUUGUCAAGCAACCGCAAGGUGGGCAGUAAAAAAACGGGAUGGAGAAUGGAAAGAGAGGUGAUGGGGGAGAGAGGAGACAGGCAGAUAAAGAGCAAUCUCCUUGGCUGGUUGUGAGGGUGUAGGUACACUCCAGAUGGUGACCCAGAACUUGAUGGGCUACACUGUGGAAAUAACCCUCUCAGGCUCAUCAAGAGACUCAGAAAUCACUCAUGG